UCGGCCCGCCACGUGCCACGAGUGUAAUGGCGGCGCGUCACUGGCGUAAUGGCGGCGCCCGGUGAUCACCGCACGUUUCACAUCGCAGUUACGGUUUACGAGUUUUUUAAAAAAUAAUAAAAUAUUCACAGUAAUAUCCGGAUAUUUGUAAAAAUUCACCGUGACCUGUGCUCUCCUUCUUCGCCUCGGUUAGAAAAACCCACCGAUUCAUGCCCGCUGACGAUGCGCUGUCCGCGGAGGGUAAAUAUUUACCUCGCAAAGUCACUAUCACUAUUCGUCGAGGAGAAUCUUAACUUGCACUACAGCUAGUUGAUAAGUUUGUUCAUCGGCCUUUAUUGAUUUGAAAAAAUGAGCACGAUGCCCCUGGUUACUGCAUAACCUCAACCGUGUGACAGCUUGCCUUAUAGGCACAAAACCUUAGUUUGCGACGAGCAAUUUUUAUAAGCUAUCCUGCUACGACACAAUCAAGAGCGCUUGUGCCAGGAGAAAGGCACUAGAAUUUAGUUUAUUGGCUAUAAUUAUAGUGCUAUAAUUAAUCUGGCCUUCUAUCCAAGAUCAGUUCUACAGAUGUUUCCUCUCCUUGAGUUGCGUCAUAUGACCACACGCUUCUAUGUAUCCCAGACUUUUCCCUUUCCGAUGGAGAGUCUCCUCAUUUGAUUGUAUUACACCCAAAGGGCUCGUGAACACAUUCAGACACUAGUUGCUUUUACUUAUAAUGAAGAGAACGUAUCCUGCUCCGACAGCUAGUGGAGGAUUUAACACAACAAUCAACCACUCUGCUCUCACACAUAAUAUUUGCCUAACUUAAUUUAACUUAAUACCACUCUACCUUCUGUGACGGUAAUGGCCACACCCUGCGUCUACCCUGCUUUUCGCAUAAUCACUUUCUUAAAUGCGACACAAGUUAAACUCAUUGCAUGGAUUACCAUCUCAUAUUUAAUAAAGAACCUAUAACAUCCACCUUUGAUUUAUAAUUUUGUUUUAAACCUAUUUGUCCCUAUAGAGAGUUACGAACACCGGACAUAGCAAAGUAUACUAUCACAAUAUCUUUCUACGUUGGUAUUAACCCUUUCCUACUCCUUCUUAGUUCUAAAGGACCGUCGCCACUAUUGCUGGUCAAAAUUAUAACCACAUUGUAUUAAGAACUCUAUAGACUUUUUUAGAAACCUAACCUCGACUUUUCACAGCUCGCCUAGCCUAUUUGUUUGACUGAAUAUAUGCCAAAGCUAAUGUUAGCACAAUCGUUGCACUUUUGGUUGCACACAUCGUAGUUGAGAAAUUUAUUAAUUCGUAAGUUUUUAAGCAUAUUCUACGAAGUCGAUAUAACAUCGGCAUGGCUGGGCCACGUGGCCCGGCAUACGAUCCCCUAUUGAUAAGGCAUAUAUAGAUAGCCUAACACGCCAGUAUCCAGGACCUAAACAAAAAUUUUCUAUGGGACGAGACAAAUACGAAACGAACGAAUACGUAACGAAACGAAUUUUUGGACAGGAUCACAUCUUUCACAUAGUAUCGGACAACUUCCCUAUUAUCGAAGACGGAAUCAUUGGGCUACCAUGUUUAGGGAAGUAUAACUAUUCAAUAUCCAAUGACAAAAUCCGACUAAACGACAAAACCAUUUUGUUUCAGAAACCAAUACACUUAACUCCUGGUGUACUGGUGACCCGAGGAGAUCGCUCGUCUCCGCGAGGCGUGAAUCCGCGCUCGGCGCCGGUUCACCAGAUCCCGCCGUCCCUGCGGACGCCCUUACAAGAUGGUAUUGAACAAUUUCCAUCCAUGGGCGCCUUCCGCAACGGAGAGCAUGGACCUUCGGUUCAUGGAAGAGGUUGUCGGCACUCUGUUCCCGGGAGCGGCGAACGAGGAAGAUGGCAGGUUCACCGAUGAGGAGGAGCAGGAGCGUCAACCGCCGGAAGUUGGAGCCCGGAAUCGAGGGUUAGCGAGGAAGAAUUGACCUAGGCUGUAGGGAGGCUCGGAGCGCGGAAAGCUCCGGGUUCCGACGGAGUCCCAGCCCGCCUGUGGAAGGACGUCGCCGGGGUCUUGCCCUGAGAUUAAUACGUCUGUUCGACAGAUGCCUGUCUCGGGGCGAAUUCCCCGUCUUGUGGAAGGAGGGACGGAUGGUCCUGCUGCCGAAGCCGGGACGGUCUUCGUACUCGCCUUCCGUCUUUCGGCCGGUAUGCCUUUUGGACGAGGCUGGCAAGCUACUGGAGAGAGUGGUAGCUGCCCGCCUCGAGUCGCAUUUGUCUGGAAGUGUUCUCGGACUGCACGACAGCUAGUUUGGCUUUCGGAGGGGGCGGUCUACGGCCGACGCUGUCGCCCGUGUCCGUUCCUUGGUCGAGGGGGUCGAACAGCGUGGUUGCGUGGCAUUGGCCGUGUCGCUGAACGUGGUCAACGCUUUCAACAGCAUCCCCUGGAACAAGAUAUGUCGGGCCCUCGAGUUUCAUUGGGUACCCGCGUACCUGCGGCGUGUGGUCCGGGCGUUCCACCGGGACCGGAGUAUCGUCUACACCGUUCGCGGCGGGGGGAUGGCAGGUAGGGCGGUGUACUGCGCGGGGUCCUGCAGGAUUCUGUGUUGGGUCCGUUGCUGUGGAACAUCGCGUACGACGCGGUGCUUCCCCCGGACUCGGCAUUGGCGUGCUACGCCGACGACACCGUCAAUUCACAUCAAUUCACAUCAGAGACCAGGCCACACACCGCGGGCAGGAUGGCACCCAGAUGUCUGCACAUCCUUGACGCGUACCCUCAAUAGUCUUAAGUACUCACCAGGGGUCUUGCAAUUUUCAUAGUUAAGGUCCCUCAGACCAAGCGAGUAUCUCUUGUCUUACAUUUCCUUUUACGUUUAUUGUUUACUACGGAAAGUCGGUUUUCCUCACUUCUGGUAUAUUCCGUUGGCAACUUUCUCACGAGGGCGGUUGAAACCCUUCCUGGUCCACCAACCGUCUUAUUAUCCAAUCGGAGACGGUGUCUACUGCCCUCACUUCCUUAACCAAAAUUAACAUCAACAAAUCCGAUAGAUCCGUGUCCUCAGACACGCCCACACCUACUUUCCUCGGAUACAGUAUCGUCAGUACGUAUAAGACGUACUGAUUGCUCCAUGCAUUAACCUCGAGUACAACUUAGACGCUAACGAAGAGUAAAGUUCGUCAUCCCGUUGACCGCGGAUUCGUUAUCGAACCUGAGGCCAUUGUCAUUAGUGUCGCGAGUACCUAGACGUUGUGGUUAACUACCAACGCUGUAAUAUCUCUACUUGUGUUAAUAAACUGUACCUUUGUUCUACCGCAUCGAUGGCUAA